rfam:Dipodomys ordii contig_62185, whole genome shotgun sequence.
GGGAAUGUGGCUCAGUGGUAGAGUGCUUGCCUAGUAUGCAUGAAGCCCUGGAUUCGAUUCCCCAGUACUA